rnacentral:lncRNA from 1 species
AAAUAAGGAAGAGAGAAAAGAGAAAAAAAGGUCCCACAAUCCCAAUCUAAAAGAUUCCAAGUCCACCCUCUCCAUUUGGAAUCCAAAUCCUUCAUCUCUUCUCUUUUCCUCUCCCUAUAAAUAAACUCCCAAAUCAAAUCCAAACACAAACACAAACAAACCCAUUUCAAUCAACCAAAUAUAUAUCCAAACAAAGCUAAGAAAAAGAAAAAGGGAAAAAGAAAAGAACGUCUAACCCGUUCGGAUUACGAAAAUGUCAGGCGUUUGGGUAUUUCGAUCCAACGGCGUGAUGCGUCUCGUCGAAAACUCUCAAGCCGGCGACGAUUACUCCUCGGACGGUCACGGCCACCA